rnacentral:rRNA from 1 species
AGCGCAGACGGUUGAUUAAGUCUGAUGUGAAAGCCCGGAGCUCAACUCCGGAAUGGCAUUGGAAACUGUUAACUUGAGUGCAGUAGAGGUAAGUGGAACUCCAUGUGUAGCGGUGGAAUGCGUAGAUAUAUGGAAGAACACCAGUGGCGAAGGCGGCUUACUGGACUGUAACUGACGUUGAGGCUCGAAAGUGUGGUAGCAAACA